AUUAUCAUUCCCCCCUCCAUCUCUUCCUCUCUCUCUCGUCGACAAAAAAAAGGGGAGCUCUCAAUCUCGUCGCCUUCCACCCCCCGCUGUUCCGUCACCGCUGCGAUUCCGGCGAUGAGAGUCACGGCUCUCGUUCUCCCUUUCCUUCCACAAGGAAAGAAACCCCCAAAUUUUCCGUCGCCGUCACCCGAUUCACCACAGAAUCGACGGUCGUCUUCAGCGUCCAGCCACCGCCCCCAAUCCGCCGGAAGAGCUGUUGCUGUCGCCGCUGCACAGAGUCGGGCUGCUGUUCGCUGCUGUCGCCGCUGCACAGAGCCGGGCUGCUGUUCGCUGCUGUCGCCGCUGCACAGAGCCGGGCUGCUGUUCGCCGCCGUCGCCGUCUGCACCGAGCCGUCGGCUGCUGUUCGCCGCUGCUCCUUCGGUGGUCGUGCAGCCCCGAAACAUCACCACAGCCCCCGAUUUGUCCCGAAACCAAUCCGAACAGCCCCGAAACGUCCCGCAAGAUAAGUUCUCUUUUAUCAAAUUAUGUUCUUUCGCAUUUUUGAUCGGUUACAGCGGGUGUUCAAUUUGUGAUGUUCGAUUGGUGUUAUUGUUCAUAGCGUUCCAAGUUUCGAUUGUUGAUUGAGUUACGUGAAGGAGUUGAAUUUGGCAGCAUAUGUUAUGUACCGAUAUGCUAUGCUUAUGAAAGUAUAUGAAAGUAAUUGAUCGACUACAAAGGGGUAUACGUUGUUGGAAACUGAACUUGGUGGUAGGGACGUUUGGGAAGAGUGUUGAAUGAGGGAUUUGGCAGCUCCUUGACUCUUGUGAUUUGUAGGGAUUUAAAACAAGUUCUUACACUCUCUUUCUCUUCCGACUCUAUACUUUAAUUGUUGGAGGAUUUUCAAAUAUGGAGAUAAGAAAGUGUUGUGGUGAAAGAAACAAAGGAGACAACUACUGUGCCCUGUUCUGGUAGCAUGUUACAAGUCCCGUUUAACCAAGUAAACGACCUCAUUUUCUUACCAAAUUUUAACUGAACAUACUUCUGUGUGUCUUUUGCUAUGUGGCCAAAAUUCAGCUUCAUCCGAAUUGAAAUGAAUUUAUAAUGAAUUUUGAAAGGGGACUGCGCUGUUCAGCUAGGUUUGGGUAUAUUGUGCUGUUUUCAGCUGCUGGUUUUGAAGUUUUCGACACCCUUAAGUUGUUGCAAAUUGUAUUUUCAAAUUUUCUGCAUGAACCUUGAUGUGUUGGGGAGCUCUUUGUAAAAUUUCAACUUAUUUGGAUGUCAUUUACUAUUUUUAGAAAAUCUCCAAACACAGCUGCCAGAACAUGUCAGGUCGUGAUGAACAGUGGGAAAAUGGCCAUAUCUCCCGACCUACUGGAAUUUUUGAAAGAACUUUGUUUUAAAAUUAAACUAGACACCAAGAGGAUUCUUUUGGUAUAGGGCUUGAUCUCUUAUACUCCGUGCAAAAGAAGUAACUAAAGAGAACUUGUUUAUUGCUUAAGUUAUUUUUGGUGUUGUGUUGAUAAGAAUUAUUUAUUGAAGGGUAAUCCUGGCCCGAGGGAUAGCAUGGGCAAGGAGAAGGCGAAGAAGUAAAGUGACCUAGUACGACAUUUUGGAUUUCGAGAUUAGCUCUUUCGAUGUACAACUGCUCAAGUCGGGUCACUAGCCAACCUUUUUGUGUUCAGAAAAUUCUUUCCGAUAUACUAGAUGUGGUAUGUAUAGAAAGUGUAAUGUAGUUCGGACGUUUCAUUUACUUCGCCAUCCAGGUUAUAUAAAUAUAUAUAUAUAUAGACUUUGGAAACAAGUUUAUGGUCUAAUUUCAGACGAUAUAUAGCUGUUUGCCAAGUAAAGGAAAAUAAUAUCUCUCUAUAAAAAAAGUAUCAAGGAUUUUCCGUUAA